UUGAAGGACGUUUCCUCAGUCGCUGCGGUGUUCCCAGAGGUCGUCUGAUUGCCUCUCCAUCCUUUGCAUGGCAUGUCUUGCCCUUCCAUGAUGGCUCUUUGCAGAGGACCAGCGAAUAUGCAAGAGUCUUUGACAUGAAUGGCCCAAAGGAACUCUUUAAACCUGCAUGGGUUGUACAUUGAGUUGUGCUCCCGGAGGGAGGUGGUGAGCAGCAGCCCAGAGAUGCUGGGGCUGAUCCUCUGUGGCGUCUUCACUUCCCUCCAUUGUUGUCUCAGUGCACGGCUGCUCUGCCUCCGGCGUUUCACGGGGACCCAGUCAGGAGAAGGUCAAACGGUGAAGGAUGGAAGGUAUUUCAACCACCAGCUCCUUGUGGAAGCUCUUUACUGGAACCCCCAAUCCAGAACAUUGCCUUCCCUGACUGAGCAAGGUUCAGAAACUAUCUGUGGAGGACAGUGGGACUAUCGUCUUUCCCCAAGUGUGUCACUGCUCCCCAAACGGGAGAGCUCUCAGUGAGAAAAGGGGAAGGGAACAAACUAGAGAAACAGCAAUUUCCUUCUGCUUCCCAGUGGCCGGAACUAAGAGUCCCUGAGACACACCACUGACUUGGAGAUGACACCCACACCAAUAAUUCCAGGCUAACUUUCGAGGUACUGGGAGGACCUUAACUCAAGAGGGAUGAUGGAGAUGCUGGUCAGCUGGGGCUGAAGAAUCAGCUGAGAUUAAGAAGAGGCCAGUAUCAUUGAGGUCAAGUCUUCUGUGAAGUGUUUCCUCAGAGUCAGCACCCAGAAGCUGUUUCCCAGAAGUGGCCAAGGUUGUACCUCCUAUUGACAGCCAAACCUGGUAGUGUAAGAGUCUCCCAGGUGGGACUGGUUUUGAAGACAUGAAGGGGUUGUGGAGAGCAGCUGAGGCUUCGCACUGUGUAACAGGGCUGGAGUCCAUGGAGAGAGCCUAGGAGAGGCUACUUGUGAAAUGGCAGCCCAGUUGCAGCAGGAGAACCAGCAUUUUGUAAAUGCCAGUGCCAUAGGAUGGCUCAUUAGGAGCUAGUGGGAGCCUAAAAGACAAGCUGUGUGUGCUACAGAGGGUGGAGCUGGAGAAGUAACCAAGUCCGUUGGAGGAGCUUAGUUUUGCUUUGUUUAGACUGUGA